GAUGAACGCUAGCGACAGGCUUAACACAUGCAGGUCGAGGGGCAGCGAGAAGUGCUUGCACUUUUGUCGGCGACCGGCGCACGGGUGAGUAACACGUAUGCAACCUGCCCUUGUCAGGGGGAUAAGCGGGGGAAACCCCGUCUAAUACCGCAUAUAUGAUUUGGAGGCAUCUUUAAAUCAGGAAAGAAUUAUCGGACAAGGAUGGGCAUGCGGGACAUUAGGUAGUUGGGGGUGUAACGGACCACCAAGCCGACGAUGUCUGGGGGUUCUGAGAGGAAGGUCCCCCACACUGAUACUGAGACACGGACCAG
rnacentral:rRNA from 1 species